CUGAACCAGCCAAGUAGCGUGAAGGAUGACUGCCCUAUGGGUUGUAAACUUCUUUUAUAUGGGAAUAAAGUAUUCCACGUGUGGGAUUUUGUAUGUACCAUAUGAAUAAGGAUCGGCUAACUCCGUGCCAGCAGCCGCGGUAAUACGGAGGAUCCGAGAGUUAUCCGGAUUUAUUGGGUUUAAAGGGAGCGUAGGUGGAUUGUUAAGUCAGUUGUGAAAGUUUGCGG
rnacentral:rRNA from 1 species